rnacentral:siRNA from 1 species
GAGGGGAUGCAGUCUAACUGUUGC